UGUUAAAAAAGUUAUCCUUUCCUAUUGUUAAAAACUAGCCUGACUGACGGAAUAACUAAACAAUUGCACAUGUACAUUAUGCUGACGAACAUAAACCAAUUUUUAAUAGUAGAAAUAGAUGAAAUUUUUAAUA
rfam:Gossypium hirsutum cultivar TM-1 chromosome 10, whole genome shotgun sequence